rnacentral:lncRNA from 1 species
UUUUUUUUUUGUGCAUGUUCACCCUACAAGACUGAUGGUUUCUGGAGACCAUCAAGCUUGCAGCUCGCUCGGCGGAGCGCUGUGCCGGCACUGCUCGCCCCCUGCCGCUCGCGCAGACCACCGCUAGGCUGCAUAGCUCGACGACCCGCCGCUGCCUCUCGCUCUUGCUGCCUGUGGCGCCUCCGUUCGAUUCAAACAAGAGCACGCCACACGCCCCCGCCCGCGUUUUUAGCUUUCUGGUGCGGUUCUGAUGAGGGAUGGAGAAGAGCAGCAAAAUUCCACUCUGUUGGGUUUGCUUCGCCGCUGCCCGUCUGCUGGAGUGGAGAUACAGUCUGUGGCAUAAAUUUUGAAGCAUACAUAAUUUGUUGGUAUACAAAAGACGGCUGUGGAGAUACGGGUAAAGGGAAACAGAUGUUACAGAUGUUUUUUUGACUUCAACGAAACGGAUUGAAUUAUUGCAACAAGGGCUUUUGGCGCGACUUGUUGAAGCUGCACAAUGCAGUUUAUGCGUAGUGUUUUCAACUUUUUUUUUUAUGCAACUAGUGUUUCAACUUUCAACUUGGUUUGCAUUUUGAGCAACAUGAGAACGAAAUUCAACAAAAAAAUAAUGACAAAAUCUCAGCGACCUUUUUUUAUGCAGAUGCCGGCAACGGUUACGGGCAACUCACCCUUCACAAUCUCAGCGACAGUGCGACACGCACACGAUGCAACAUGUCUGGUAGCUGACAUCGCAUAUCCACAUUGCACCUCUAGCCAAAGCCAAGCAAUGCUCACCGCCAGUAAAUGGAAAAUUGUGUUGAGAUUGACCUACUGAUAUAGGCUAUCUGACUCUCUCUGUUAGGAGAUCAAUUUGGAGUUUCGAUCAUCCGGCCAUCUGUAGUCUUCGUUUGAAUUUUGAAACCGCGGUAAGUUCUCUGUUCCGCUUUGCGCGGCGCCUUCUUCCAACUGUAUGAAGAUGUUCAACAAGUGAAGCAGCGUUUAUUUGUGUCGAGGAAUCUGCGAUGGGAGGACGGAACGGAAGAGGGUACCAGCUUUGGGGGGCCCGUUGGCGGAGUUUCCACUGGCAGAAAGAGCUUCAUGUUCUGCUUCUGCAGAAGAAUACUGCGCUCGAAAGCGCAGCAACCGCAAGUGCUCGACCACCUGAAAUGCUGAGCAUUUAGCUGCAUUCAGCUCAUGUGCAGACGCCAGGAGAUCUCCAAACCCUUUCAGAACACACUUCGAUAUAUUCAGAAUGACAAUGCGCUCUUACAAGCACGGACCGGCAUCACCGGCAGGCACAUAGUCCAGACCUUGUAGAUGUAUGCAGUUCAGUUCGCAAAAAUAAGAUCAACUCGAAUCAAAUAGAUUUCUCAGCCGCAUACCAAAUGAAUUUGUCAAAAGUACAAAUUCCGAUCACUGAACAGGCAGUAGCCAGAACAAAUAAGAUCCGCAAAACAUCUAAGAUCGGCAGUCUGAUCAAAAGCAACGCGGAACCGAAUCACAACACAGCACGAGCGCCACACGAAUCCCAAACAUUUUCUGGGCAUGAAUCAGGUGCAGAAUGUGACAAAUUGAGACCACCACGCAUGUAAGCAUCAAACGAGAUAUCAGCGAACAAACAAGAAUAAUACCAGCUCUUGAUGAUUUGUAUUAAAAGCAGAUGACACAGCUCUUAAAACAAGAGUUCAGAUGUCCAAAUCGUUCACUUCUCUCCUUGGCUCACACUUGAAAAUUGUUCUAAUCUCCUAGCAAGCCCAUAACCAAGCACAAAUUUUAAACCAUAGCCCAAAAUGUUGAACAUAAAGCUCCAGA